AACGCACCUUGCACCCUUUGGUAUUCCGAGGGGUACGCCCGUUUGAGUGUCAUUGUAAUCUCACUCCAACAAGCUUUGUUGCCUGCUGGAGGUGGACUUGGACCCUGCCGUGUCACAAGCGGCUGGUCUGAAAUGCAUGAGUGUACCCUGCCGAUGCAGCGUCUUCAGUGUGAUAAGUAUCUUCACUGAUCAAAGCUCCUUCGGGACACGCAGCCUGGUAGGCCCUGCGCUUCCAAUCGUCCUCUGUAGGACAGACUUUGACAACUUGACCUCAAAUCGGGUGGGACUACCCGCUGAACUUAA
rnacentral:misc_RNA from 1 species